UGCUCUGGUAGUGCAGUGGUUAGCACGCGCACCCGGCAUGAGUGAGGCGCGGGUUCAGGUCCCGCCCGAUCAA